rnacentral:rRNA from 1 species
UGGGGGACCUUUGGGCUAUUUCGAAACUUGACCUCAAAUCAGGUAGGACUACCCGCUGAACUUAAGCAUAUCAAUAAGCGGAGGAAAAGAAACUAACAAGGAUUCCCCUAGUAACUGCGAGUGAAGAGGGAAGAGCUCAAAUUUUGAAUCUGGCGGCGUUCUGCCGUCCGAGUUGUAAUCUAGAGAAGCGUCUUCCGCGCUGGACCGUGUACAAGUCUCCUGGAAGGGAGCGUCGUAGAGGGUGAGAAUCCCGUCUCUGACACGGACUACCAGUGCUAUGUGAUGCGCUCUCGACGAGUCGAGUUGUUUGGGAAUGCAGCUCAAAACGGGUGGUAAAUUCCAUCUAAAGCUAAAUACAUGCGAGAGACCGAUAGCGAACAAGUACCGUGAGGGAAAGAUGAAAAGAACUUUGGAAAGAGAGUUAAACAGUACGUGAAAUUGCUGAAAGGGAAACGCUUGAUGUCAGUCGCGUCGGCYGGGGAUCAACCUUGCUUCUCGCUGGGUGUACUUCUCGGUCGACGGGUCAGCAUCAGUUUCGGUCGCCGUACAAGGGCGAGGGGAAUGUGGCACUCUUCGGAGUGUG